CCUAUCUACUCAAGAGAAAAACAGAAGACGUGAGAACAACCUAUGUUUAUAUUGUGCCUCAGACGAGCAUACAGUGAGAGAGUGUCCUUCUUUGCAGAAACAACGAAAGGUGGGAUCUCCUACGAGUCAACGUUCCAGCCAUUAUUGACUCUGGUGCUACAGCAUGUUAUAUAGAUAAGGAAUUCACUUAUAAAAAUAAAAUACCACUGGUGCAGAAAAA